AUGAAUAAUGGAAAUGAUGGCGACAUCGCAGGAAUUCUACGUGAAAUCUUGGCCAAGUGCCAUCCACAUGAGUUCUGCAUGAAGAUCUUCGCAUACGCUCUUUACGCUAAUCCCAACAGGAGCUAUGAAGAACUGUGCAAGUUAAAUGAAGAUCUGGUUCCUGCCAAGACAUUUGGCACUAGAGCUAAGAAUAUGAUCAAGUUCUCCUACAAAGAUCUGCCUAGAGAACACAAGACUUGCUUGCUGUACCUAGCCAUCUUUCCUCAAGGCCACAACAUCAGGAGAUCAACCUUAAUUGGACGAUGGGUCACGGAGGGGUUGAUAACUAAGCAAGACUGGGCCACUGCAGUGCAGCAUGCGGAGCAAUGUUUUGACACCCUGAUUAAACGAGGGCUUAUAUUGCCUCAUGAUAUUGGUGCUGCAGGAAAGGUCAAGAGCUGCAUGGUAGGUGAUCAAGUGCAUGGGUUUAUCACCGAGGUCGCAGAAAAAGAGCACAUUCUGGAUGCACGCCUUUCUGAUCUUUGGGCUCGCCACUUCUCCAUCUUUAGUGGUCUCCGACUCCGUGCCUCUGAUGGCAUCGAGAAGUUUGUAUACAAGCUCCCCAAAUAUUCACCACAACUGCCGCUCCUGAAGGUGUUAGAUCUAGAAGGCACUCAAUGCUAUGACAAAAAUCACUACCUCAGGGACAUUUGCAACAAGAUAUUACUUCUCAAGUAUCUGAGCCUAAGAGGAACAAAUGUUAGAUAUCUACCCAGUGAAAUAAACAACCUCCAUGAGCUAGAGGUAUUGGAUAUCCGGGAAACUAUGGUGCCUGAGCGUGCAACAAGGAAUAUCCUACUGCUGAAGCUGAGGCGCUUCUUGGCUAGCCGUGUUGAUCCAAAUUCAAGACCCAAUGAUAAGUCGCCACGCUUUCCUGUCCAGAUUCCUUUCAAGAUUGAGAAAAUGGAAAAUUUGGAGGUACUAUCAAGUGUCAGGGCUUCAGGGGAUGGCCGUGAGUUGAAAGAGAUAAGACAUCUAUGGCAGCUAAGGAAGCUCGGUGUGGUUAUUGAAGACAGAAACAAUCACCUCGAGAGGUUGCUUCGAGCCAUCGGUGACCUAAAAUAUUGCCUUCAGUCCCUUUCAAUCACUAUAUCCUACAGCACCAGAACUAAGAGCACUCUCUCCAACAAAGAGAUGUAUGAUCUGUUAAGACAAAGUCCCAAGCAUCUUGAGAGCCUAAGCAUCAAUGGAGUCACACAAAGUGGGCAGCUCCUUGAAGUGCUGGCCAAAGGUAGCGAUGAACUUGCCAAGGUAACUCUGACUGGUACCUUGUUGGAAGAGCGUGAUCUGAUGGUCCUUGCCGUGCUUCCCAAAUUACACUCUGUCAGACUCCGAUCCAAUGCAUACAAUGGGAGAGAGCUCACCUUCAAGAAGGAUGUAUUUCCACAACUCAAAUACUUUCUUGUUGAGGGCUCCAACAAGGCUGUGACUGACAUCAAGUUUGAAGAUGGAGCAACUACUGAGCUCGAGAAGAUUGUUUUGUCCUCCACCAACAUAAGGUUUCUUAGUGGGAUCGACAACCUUCCAAAAUUGAAGGAGCUUGAAUUGGAAGGAAACCAGUCCCUACUUUCAUUUUCUCAAGACAAAGCAUCUCCUGAGCAAAGCGCCGAGAGUGGAUCCGCUGAGCAGAACACAAAGGGCGAAGCUACCCAGCGAAACACUCAGAGUAGGGCUCCUGAACAAAACAGCGAGAGUAGAACUCCUGAGCAAAACACUCGGAGCAGAGCUGCCGAGAGAAUCACCGAAAGCAGAGCACCUGAGCAAAACAACGAGAGUAGAGCUCCUGAGCAGAACACUGGGAGCAGAGCUGGUGAGGAAAUCACCGAAAGUAGAGCAGCUGAGCAAAACAACGAGCGCAAAGCUCCCGAGCAAGACAGUCAGGGUGCAACUCCGAAGAAGAGCACCGAGAUUAGUGCUCUUGAUCAGAACACUGACACCAAUAGUAAGUUCAUCUUCAAGACAGGAAAGUUCCAACAUCUCAAGUAUUUUCGUGUUGAGAGCUCCAAAAUGAUCAACGUCAUCUUUGAAAAUGGAGCAGCUCCUGAGCUCAAGAAGAUUGCCUUGUCCUUGACCGACAAACAACACCAGCUCCGUGGGGUUAGUCACCUUCCAAAACUGAAGGAGAUCGAGUUGAAGGGUGAGAAGUUCCUUUCAUUAUUUGACAAUGCUGAUAAAAUUGACAACGCUGAUAAAAUUGCCAAGGUGACUCUUUGUGAUACUCACCUGAAGAAGGGAGAUGUACAAAUCCUUGCCAAGCAAGAAAACCUGCGCUGCCUAGAGCUCUCAAUCAAGUCUUAUGAUGAUGAGGAAGGCCAUCUAGUCUUCCACAAAGAUGAGUUCCCAAAUCUUGACCUUCUUAUUGUUGAGUGUCCUACCAUCAGCAGGAUCAGCUUCACCGAGGGAUCUGCUCCUAAGAUUGAAAAGAUUGUUUGGUCCUUCAAGGAGAUGAAGUCUCUCUUUGGCAUUGACAACCUUCCGAGACUGAAGGAGAUUGAGUGCAGUGGUGACCAGGUCCCAUAUCAGGUGAGAAGAGACGUUGCAGCGCAUAAAGCCCGACCUGUUCUUACACACAAGCCACAAUAA
rnacentral:rRNA from 1 species